GAGUUUGAUCGUGGCUCAGAUUGAACGCUGGCGGCAUGCCUUACACAUGCAAGUCGAACGGCAGCAUGAUCUAGCUUGCUAGAUUGAUGGCGAGUGGCGAACGGGUGAGUAAUACAUCGGAACGUGCCCUGUAGUGGGGGAUAACUAGUCGAAAGAUUAGCUAAUACCGCAUACGACCUGAGGGUGAAAGUGGGGGACCGCAAGGCCUCGUGCUAUAGGAGCGGCCGAUGUCUGAUUAGCUAGUUGGUGGGGUAAAGGCCCACCAAGGCGACGAUCAGUAGCUGGUCUGAGAGGACGAUCAGCCACACUGGGACUGAGACACGGCCCAGACUCCUACGGGAGGCAGCAGUGGGGAAUUUUGGACAAUGGGCGAAAGCCUGAUCCAGCAAUGCCGCGUGUGUG
rnacentral:rRNA from 1 species